AGAGCGGGUGCGAGGCGGGCACAAAGGGUCUCUGUUUUCGGGGGCUAAGUGGCACUCAGUUGAUCAAUUACCAGAUCAAUUGACUUCUCAAAUUCUAAUAUAAAUAAGAAUCACUUGACUCUCUUGUUAAAAUGCGGAUUCUGAUCCAGAAGGUCUGGGGUGGAGACCUGAGAUCCUGCAUUUCUAAUAAGCUCCCAGGUGGCGAUGACGAAGCUCUUGGUCGGAGGAUCACGCUUUGAAUUGCACCUGUCCGAAAGUAAUGGCUGUAGCCCCAGCUCCACGUAAUUUGAAACUUGCACGACCUUUCUUGUCCUUCUUCCACUGAUGAGAAGCGUUCCUGUGGCUACAUGGGGUGUCCCGGUGAUGCUUACAGUUUGGGCACCAGCUGAGGGAAGGUGUGUUUAAUCCCCACAUUACCCACCCUUGGUCUAUGGAGCAGCAAUCAUGCCAACUUGGUGACUGGAGUGUGGAACCAGAAGUGGAGACGGAAUGGCCAUGGAAGAGAACACUGUGUCUACGUUAAUCCUAAAGGGUUGGGCGUGUGUGUCUGA
rnacentral:lncRNA from 1 species